CGGUGAAGCCCAGCUUGCUGGGUGGAUCAGUGGCGAACGGGUGAGUAACACGUGAGCAACGUGCCCCAGACUCUGGGAUAACAGCUGGAAACAGCUGCUAAUACCGGAUACGAGACGUGGCCGCAUGGUCAACGUUUGGAAAGAUUUUUCGGUCUGGGAUCGGCUCGCGGCCUAUCAGCUUGUUGGUGAGGUAAUGGCUCACCAAGGCGUCGACGGGUAGCCGGCCUGAGAGGGUGACCGGCCACACUGGGACUGAGACACGGCCCAGACUCCUACGGGAGGCAGCAGUGGGGAAUAUUGCACAAUGGGCGAAAGCCUGAUGCAGCAACGCCGCGUGAGGGAUGACGGCCUUCGGGUUGUAAACCUCUUUUAGCAGGGAAGAAGCGAGAGUGACGGUACCUGCAGAAAAAGCGCCGGCUAACUACGUGCCAGCAGCCGCGGUAAUACGUAGGGCGCAAGCGUUAUCCGGAAUUAUUGGGCGUAAAGAGCUCGUAGGCGGUUUGUCGCGUCUGCUGUGAAAUCCCGAGGCUCAACCUCGGGCCUGCAGUGGGUACGGGCAGACUAGAGUGCGGUAGGGGAGAUUGGAAUUCCUGGUGUAGCGGUGGAAUGCGCAGAUAUCAGGAGGAACACCGAUGGCGAAGGCAGAUCUCUGGGCCGUAACUGACGCUGAGGAGCGAAAGGGUGGGGAGCAAACAGGCUUAGAUACCCUGGUAGUCCACCCCGUAAACGUUGGGAACUAGUUGUGGGGACCAUUCCACGGUUUCCGUGACGCAGCUAACGCAUUAAGUUCCCCGCCUGGGGAGUAC
rnacentral:rRNA from 1 species